rnacentral:rRNA from 1 species
UAACACGUAGGGGGCGAGCGUUGUCCGGAUUUAUUGGGCGUAAAGAGCUCGUAGGCGGUUCGCUAAGUCGGGUGUGAAACCUCCAGGCUCAACCUGGAGACGCCACCUGAUACUGGUGUGACUAGAGUCCGGUAGGGGAGUGUGGAACUCCUGGUGUAGCGGUGAAAUGCGCAGAUAUCAGGAAGAACACCAGCGGCGAAGGCGGCACUCUGGGCCGGUACUGACGCUGAGGAGCGAAAGCGUGGGUAGCAAACAGG